GAUGAACGCUGGCGGCGUGCCUAAUACAUGCAAGUCGAGCGAACAGACGAGGAGCUUGCUCCUCUGACGUUAGCGGCGGACGGGUGAGUAACACGUGGAUAACCUACCUAUAAGACUGGGAUAACUUCGGGAAACCGGAGCUAAUACCGGAUAAUAUAUUGAACCGCAUGGUUCAAUAGUGAAAGACGGUUUUGCUGUCACUUAUAGAUGGAUCCGCGCCGCAUUAGCUAGUUGGUAAGGUAACGGCUUACCAAGGCAACGAUGCGUAGCCGACCUGAGAGGGUGAUCGGGCACACUGGAACUGAGACACGGUCCAGACUCCUACGGGAGGCAGCAGUAGGGAAUCUUCCGCAAUGGGCGAAAGCUUGACGGAGCAACGCCGCGUGAGUGAUGAAGGUCUUCGGAUCGUAAAACUCUGUUAUUGGGGAAGAACAAAUGUGUAAGUAACUAUGCACGUCUUGACGGUACCUAAUCAGAAAGCCACGGCUAACUACGUG
rnacentral:rRNA from 1 species